rnacentral:sRNA from 1 species
GUUCCCCCAAGCUGCAAAAGUCUUCUGUCAAGCCUCUUUGCAACAUAAUUAAACUUCUGGUAACCGGAAUCACCCAACCCGAAAACAGCAUAAUGAAGUCCUUGAAGCCAUUGCCCACUUAGGUUUCUCCGCAGAAGAAAAUUCCAAAAUCCGUUCAUGGAAUCAGGAGUAACCCCCUGGCCUGUGGUUGAAACGACAAAAAUUACUACAGUUCUGCUGCCCUCCUCUUGAGCUAAGCAACCAGCGUCGUAUCGGUCCACGGAAAGGAGGUGGACCGGACAGCAGCCUCUGCGCUCGGCUUCACGACCCACCCGCUCAGCGGCCUCUACAGCGUUUCCGGUUUGAGUUGCGUAGAGUAUGAGCAGUUUCUUCGGUGUCUCCUCCAUGCCUAAUGAGAUAGGGCCGGCUGGAAUUCGAUGAGUACGUACGUGGAUGAAGGUAGCUGCUGCGCAGAAGGGUAAUAUUUAUGGGUGGAAACCGCUAAUUACAAGUUUCUUAGAUUACCCCUCUGUUUUUCUUUAACGUGUUACACAAGGUUUCUUUGUUUCGUCUCCUUAUAUUGGUGGGAUUCCAACUUUGACGCAAACUAGGUCAAGGUAAAUCAAUCUAUUCCAAGAGAAUAUAAUGACCUCAAGACUGACCUGAGCAAG